GACGAACGCUGGCGGCGUGCCUAAUACAUGCAAGUUGAGCGCUGAAGGUUGGUACUUGUACCAACUGGAUGAGCAGCGAACGGGUGAGUAACGCGUGUGGAAUCUGCCUUUGAGCGGGGGACAACAUUUGGAAACGAAUGCUAAUACCGCAUAAAAACUUUAAACACAAUUGUUAAUGUUGAAAUAUGCCAUUGCAUCACUCAAAGAUGAUCCCGCGUUGUAUUAGCUAGUUGGUGAGGUAAAGGCUCACCAAGGCGAUGAUACAUAGCCGACCUGAGAGGGUGAUCGGCCACAUUGGGACUGAGACACGGCCCAAACGCCUACGGGAGGCAGCAGUAGGGAAGCUGCGGCCAUGGACGAAAGUCUGACCGAGAAACGCCGAGUGAGUGAAGAAGGUCUUCGGAUCGUAAAACUCUGUUGGUAGAGAAGAACGUUGGUGAGAGUGGAAAGCUCAUCAAGUGACGGUAACUACCCAGAAAGGGACGGCUAACUACGUG
rnacentral:rRNA from 1 species